rnacentral:lncRNA from 1 species
UGCUUGACUGAUGGAAUCAUGUUCUAAACUUUUCAGAGUGACGUAAGGUCGUUGCACCUUCGGUUAACAUUAUGGAUAUCAUACCAUCAAUAUGAACUUCAGUAGGACUCAAGGAUCAUACAUACUUUCUUAGAAUAACUUUGUACGAAAAGAACAACAUGAGAUUCAGUAUGAAGUAGUGUAUCGUUUAUGUUCGUCUCAAUUUAGAUCAUGCCAAAAGAAAUACAGAAGUGCCCUAACAUACUUUAACCAUGGUUAGUCCUGAAUACCUCUCAAGCAACACUUCAAACAACUCAACUCAAUCUACCAUGGAAUAAAGAGAUUCAAAAUCAGUGUUGAAUGAAGGCUAAUUUUGCAACUUAAACUUGUAGCUUGUUUAUAUAAAUUCGGGGAGCAUUCCCCUGUAAAAGAGCCUCCUCCAAUACCAUAUACCAACAACAAUUACCAGAGAAAUCCAUCAAUACAUAAUUGUCAAUAACAAGACAUCAUAAAAUAACAACAAGUCGUAAUUAUUUGACGACAAGCGACAAGCUCCAAUUGAAAUUCGUAUACCCUAUAUCAUCCCUUAAAGACUUUUUACUUUAGCUUAAUAGCAUUAUUAACAUGAUAAUGAAUUCAUUCAUCAAUAAUUACAGCCUUAUACCAUAUGUCCAUAACAAAUAAAAUGAUCCACAACUCCAAUUAUUCUUAAUUAGCAACUUUAUUCACUAGUUCAUCGGGUCUAGUUCAUGUCUAGUUCAUCCAUUCAGCUUAACAAACGCCAACAUAACCUGUAGGAACACAAUAUAUUUACCUCAUACAGUAGAUUCAAGUUUACACCCAUAUUAUAUUUAGCUUACAACAUCCCAAACACACCCUAAUCAACUCAUACCAAAACGACGACUAUAGUAGUGUCCAACACCCCGAAAAUAUUAUAUAGAAUGAUUAAUCCAUCAUUUCACCAUUAUGUGGUGUUUAUCCACACCAUUUAUACUUCAAAAACUCCACUAAAUAUCAGUACAAUAUACAGCCAAAAAGCUACACGAAACAGCCCACAAAACAGUCCAUUGCAAAUCAAAUAACUCGAACUCACGGCUUCCGAUCACCGUCCCGUGAGUUCUAACUAUAUGAAAUCAAUUAAUCAACCUUCACUGAUAUUUAAGAUCUUAAAAAUCAUAAAUUUAAUAAUUUUCUUAACUACUAAAUACCUUCCAAAACUCAAACAAUAAAGAAAAAGAAAGGCUAUAUAGGGAUACUUACGUCGUGGGGAUCGUUUUUGUGUUAUUACUUCGUGAUUUCGUACCCCGGAUGAUAAUAUUUUUGAAAUGUCUUGUGGGAAAGCUUGAGGGGAAGUUUAGGGGUCUUAUUUGGUUGAACUCUCUGGAAUUGUGAAGAAGGAUACGACAUAUAGGAAGAUAAAUAUCAAUUUUUGGUUGAAAAGUCAAAAGGUGCCACUUGGCACCAUCUCAUUUGCUGCUUUUUAAACAUUUGUAUCUUUCUAUCCGGAUAUCGUAU